CCAUCCUCCAAGGCUAAAUACUCCUGACUGACCGAUAGUGAACCAGUACCGUGAGGGAAAGGCGAAAAGAACCCCUGUGAGGGGAGUGAAAUAGAUCCUGAAACCGCAUGCAUACAAGCAGUGGGAGCACCUUCGUGGUGUGACUGCGUACCUUUUGUAUAAUGGGUCAGCGACUUAUAUUCAGUAGCGAGGUUAACCGCAUAGGGGAGCCGUAGAGAAAUCGAGUCUUAAUAGGGCGUAUAGUUGCUGGGUAUAGACCCGAAACCAGGCGAUCUAUCCAUGAGCAGGUUGAAGGUUGGGUAACACUAACUGGAGGACCGAACCCACUGUCGUUGAAAAGCCAGGGGAUGACUUGUGGAUAGGGGUGAAAGGCUAAUCAAGCCUGGUGAUAGCUGGUUCUCCCCGAAAGCUAUUUAGGUAGCGCCUCG
rnacentral:rRNA from 1 species